rnacentral:lncRNA from 1 species
UCACAUGAAGAUCCACAUCGGACCUCAGCCACUACAACAAGAAAGCACAGCUCUAACACCAACAGAGAGCUACGAAUGAACCAAGCAGCUGUGAAGUCGAAGCUACAGUGGCAGGGCCCGGUGGCAUAUGCUGACGAGUAGGUGGUCCGUUCGGUGAUCUUCCUCAACACGUAGUAUGACUUCAGUGCACACGACACAGUAUAUGCCCCCAUGGAGACCGACAACAGAACAACAGUUCCACAAGCAUGAGCACACUUGAAUUCAGGUGAGAGUGUGACCACUCCCAUUCCUGUCACGUAGAAAGAAGAAAACUCCCGUUUCGUACAGAAAUUCCAUGAGAAGCAAAAUGGCGUCACGUCGUAUUAUUUGUAUUCUUCGUUCUACGAAUCAGCAAAACCAGAUCACGACUCGGACACGAUUCACAUGGAGCACCUAUCUCACGCUUUUUCGACGCUGUAGCCAGGCUGCCUCUCUUCCUCAUCACUUAUUUAAGACGCCUGUCUGGGUUAAAAAAUCGUGACCGAACAAUGACCGGCGGUAUGUAAGGCCUUCCACAGCGUAGCCGGUGCCAAAUACAUCAAAAGGCAGCCACCUCAUCACCGGUGCCCAAAAUUGCUUUUCAGGCAUCGAUCUCACAACGUAGGGCUUCGGCAGGAAAAAGAUUUUGGGACCCAUAUGAUAAACAAGUACACCACGCUGCUGUGUAUUGAGCAAAGAGAGAGAAGACAUUCGCUGUUCAAAGUUGAGAGUUAAUAGUAUUUUAUUGGCUGGAGGAAUUGGGCAUCGUGUUCUUACUUGCUCCGAUGCCAUGAAAAUUUUGUUGGGGCACCGGCCUCACAACGUGAGGGCACCGGCUAUCGGAGCCAGAAGUUAAUUUGGCACCUCUUUUGGCCUACAUAAUGGAAGGUCUAAGAGGUGGGUUUGAGAGAUCGGUUGUAGAUGCUCUUAAUAAGCUAGUACUAGAAGAAGAACAUGUAUAGGGGAGGAAGGGGACAUAAGUGAAUCCCGAACGAAAGCACGUACCUGCGGGUGAUGGCCGAGUCAAGAAACACGGUCGACGUUCGUGAUCGAGUUGGCGCCGUGCCGGAGCUAAUUCAAGGGAAUGCCGCCGCCUUCCAACCGGAGACGAGACUGUAUUAUGUGGCUGACAACCUGCGCAGCUUUCAAACAUGGUGGCUCCUUUUGGAAAAGGCUCGGAGUGGAGACCCCAACCGUGUCACUCGUGUCAUACAUAUGCACCUUACAAAGGGCUGCGAGCUUUACUACACAGAUGUGUUGGGUGUUCAUUUGGUUUUAACAAAUUUGAGACCUUAUCUUUUUUUUGUUGGGUUUGCAGCUUUUAUGUCAUUUUAAAUACAUAUGUGUAUGCUGUCAAUACACUAUAGAUUAACAUACACUAGUGUCAAAAACGCUUUUAUAUUAUAAAACGGAGGGAGUAGUCUGAUUUUCUCAACACGUAAGGGCUUCUUUGAUUCAAAGGAAUUGCAUAGGAUUUUUGGAGGAUUUGAAUCCUUAGGAAUUUUUCCUGUGAUGCUCGUUUGAUUCGUAGGAUUGGCAUCCUUAGGAAUUUUUCCAUAGGAUCCAUUUGUACUACAUUUUGGAGGAAAAUUUGCAUCCACUGAAACCUCUUUGUAGGAUUCCUUUGUUUUUCCUGCGCUAUCAAACAUUCUUUGAGAUCCUGUAGGAUACUAUGGGACAUGUCAUCCUAUUCCUGCAUUUUUCCUAUUCCUUCAUUUUGACAAUCCUGCGAAUCAAAGAGGCCCUAAAUUUUUUUUUAAACGGAGGCAAAAGAUUUGGCUCAUUCAUUAAUUAAGCAGAAAAGAACUGCCCAGUUAAUUAAUGAAAAACCAGGCGAAAAUCAUCACAAACUACUGAGUGACACCAAUGAAAGACCUACACGCGCCACUCACAAGAGGGCCUCGUCAAGACUGCACGUCGACAUCAUCGCCAUCACUUCUCCCCUAGAGGCAUCAUUGCCAUCCCAAACUAUGAGAAACGACUCCAACUUCACCUCAAGAGGGCCUCGUCAAGACCGCACCUCGAGCGUCAUCACCAUCAUUUCUCCCCUAGAGGUGUCAUCGCCAUCCCAAACUCUGAAAAACAACUCUGACUUCGCCAAAGGCGAUCAUCAAACCAACCCACCCUGAAUAGGCCGUGCGGAAUCACAUGAAGAUCCACAUCGGACCUCAGCCACUACAACAAGAAAGCACAGCUCUAACACCAACAGAGAGCUACGAAUGAACCAAGCAGCUGUGAAGUCGAAGCUACAGUGGCAGGGCCCGGUGGCAUAUGCUGACGAGUAGGUGGUCCGUUCGGUGAUCUUCCUCAACACGUAGUAUGACUUCAGUGCACACGACACAGUAUAUGCCCCCCUGGAGACCGACAACAGAACAACAGUUCCACAAGCAUGAGCACACUUGAAUUCAGGUGAGAGUGUGACCACUCCCAUUCCUGUCACGUAGAAAGAAGAAAACUCCCGUUUCGUACAGAAAUUCCAUGAGAAGCAAAAUGGCGCCACGUCGUAUUAUUUGUAUUCUUUGUUCUACGAAUCAGCAAAACCAGAUCACGACUCGGACACGAUUCACAUGGAGCACCUAUCUCACGCUUUUUCGACGCGGUAGCCAGGCUGCCUCUCUUCCUCAUCACUUAUUUAAGACGCCCGUCUGGGUUAAAAAAUCGUGACCGAACAAUGACCGGCGGUAAGGCCUUCCACAGCGUAGCCGGUGCCAAAUACAUCAAAAGGCAGCCACCUCAUCACCGGUGCCCAAAAUUGCUUUUCAGGCAUCGAUCUCACAACGUAGGGCUUCGGCAGGAAAAAGAUUUUGGGACCCAUAUGAUAAACAAGUACACCACGCUGCUGUGUAUUGAGCAAAGAGAGAGAAGACAUUUGCUGUUCAAAGUUGAGAGUUAAUAGUAUUUUAUUGGCUGGAGGAAUUGGGCAUCGUGUUCUUACUUGCUCCGAUGCCAUGAAAAUUUUGUUGGGGCACCGGCCUCACAACGUGAGGGCACCGGCUAUCGGAGGCAGAAGUUAAUUUGGCACCUCUUUUGGCCUACAUAAUGGAAGGUCUAAGAGGUGGGUUUGAGAGAUCGGUUGUAGAUGCUCUUAAUAAACUAGUACUAGAAGAAGAACAUGUAUAGGGGAGGAAGGGGACAUAAGUGAAUCCCGAACGGAAGCACGUACCUGCGGGUGAUGGCCGAGUCGAGAAACACGGUCGACGUUCGUGAUCGAGUUGGCGCCGUGCCGGAGCUAAUUCAAGGGAAUGCCGCCGCCUUCCAACCGGAGACGAGACUGUAUUAUGUGGCUGACAACCUGCGCAGCUUUCAAACAUGGUGGCUCCUUUUGGAAAAGGCUCGGAGUGGAGACCCCAACCGUGUCACUCGUGUCAUACAUAUGCACCUUACAAAGGGCUGCGAGCUUUACUACACAGAUGUGUUGGGUGUACAUUUGGUUUUAACAAAUUUGAGACCUUAUCUUUUUUUUGUUGGGUUUGCAGCUUUUAUGUCAUUUUAAAUACAUAUGUGUAUGCUGUCAAUACACUAUAGAUUAACAUACACUAAUGUCAAAAACGCUUUUAUAUUAUAAAACGGAGGAAGUAGUCUGAUUUUCUCAACACGUAAGGGCUUCUUUGAUUCAAAGGAAUUGCAUAGGAUUUUUGGAGGAUUUGAAUCCUUAGGAAUUUUUCCUGUGAUGCUCGUUUGAUUCGUAGGAUUGGCAUUCUUAGGAAUUUUUCCAUAGGAUCCAUUUGUACUACAUUUUGGAGGAAAAUUUUCAUCCACUCAAACCUCUUUGUAGGAUUCCUUUGUUUUUCCUGCGCUAUCAAACAUUCUUUGAGAUCCCGUAGGAUACUAUGGGACAUGUCAUCCUAUUCCUGCAUUUUUCCUAUUCCUUCAUUUUGACAAUCCUGCGAAUCAAAGAGGCCCUAAAUUUUUUUUUAAACGGAGGCAAAAGAUUUGGCUCAUUCAUUAAUUAAGCAGAAAAGAACUGCCCAGUUAAUUAAUGAAAAACCAGGCGAAAAUCAUCACAAACUACUGAGUGACACCAAUGAAAGACCUACACGCGCCACUCACAAGAGGGCCUCGUCAAGACUGCACGUCGACAUCAUCGCCAUCACUUCUCCCCUAGAGGCAUCAUUGCCAUCCCAAACUAUUGAGAAACGACUCCAACUUCACCUCAAGAGGGCCUCGUCAAGACCACACCUGGCGCGUCAUCACCAUCACUUCUCCCCUAGAGGUGUCAUCGCCAUCCCAAACUCUGAAAAACAACUCUGACUUCGCCAAAGGCGAUCAUCAAACCAACCCACCCUGAAUAGGCCGUGCAGAAUCACAUGAAGAUCCACAUCGGACCUCAGCCACUACAACAAGAAAGCACAGCUCUAACACCAACAGAGAGCUACGAAUGAACCAAGCAGCUGUGAAGUCGAAGCUACAGUGGCAGGGCCCGGUGGCAUAUGCUGACGAGUAGGUGGUCCGUUCGGUGAUCUUCCUCAACACGUAGUAUGACUUCAGUGCACACGACACAGUAUAUGCCCCCCUGGAGACCGACAACAGAACAACAGUUCCACAAGCAUGAGCACACUUGAAUUCAGGUGAGAGUGUGACCACUCCCAUUCCUGUCACGUAGAAAGAAGAAAACUCCCGUUUCGUACAGAAAUUCCAUGAGAAGCAAAAUGGCGCCACGUCGUAUUAUUUGUAUUCUUCGUUCUACGAAUCAGCAAAACCAGAUCACGACUCGGACACGAUUCACAUGGAGCACCUAUCUCACGCUUUUUCGACGCGGUAGCCAGGCUGCCUCUCUUCCUCAUCACUUAUUUCCACCAUGGAGAUGGUGGCCUCCAUCAGGCCGUAACUUUCUUCGACGUCACUGAGUUGCAGAUGGUGGCAAAGUCCGG